rnacentral:rRNA from 1 species
GACGAACGCUGGCGGCGUGCCUAAUACAUGCAAGUAGAACGCUGAAGGAGGAGCUUGCUUCUCUGGAUGAGUUGCGAACGGGUGAGUAACGCGUAGGUAACCUGCCUGGUAGCGGGGGAUAACUAUUGGAAACGAUAGCUAAUACCGCAUAAUAGCAGUUGUUGCAUGACAACUGUUUGAAAGGUGCAAUUGCACCACUACCAGAUGGACCUGCGUUGUAUUAGCUAGUUGGUGGGGUAACGGCUCACCAAGGCGACGAUACAUAGCCGACCUGAGAGGGUGAUCGGCCACACUGGGACUGAGACACGGCCCAGACUCCUACGGGAGGCAGCAGUAGGGAAUCUUCGGCAAUGGACGGAAGUCUGACCGAGCAACGCCGCGUGAGUGAAGAAGGUUUUCGGAUCGUAAAGCUCUGUUGUAAGAGAGGAACGAGGGUGAGAGUGGAAAGUUCACACUGUGACGGUAUCUUACCAGAAAGGGACGGCUAACUACGUG